rnacentral:rRNA from 1 species
UACGUAGGGUGCGAGCGUUGUCCGGAAUUAUUGGGCGUAAAGAGCUUGUAGGCGGUUUGUCGCGUCUGCCGUGAAAAUCCAAAGCUCAACCCCGGACUUGCGGUGGGUACGGGCAGACUAGAGUGUAGUAGGGGAGACUGGAAUUCCUGGUGUAGCGGUGAAAUGCGCAGAUAUCAAGAGGAACACCGAUGGCGAAGGCAGGUCUCUGGGCCACUACUGACGCUGAGAAGCGAAAGCGUGGGGAGCGAACAGG